GAGGAGGGGAGGGGGGAGGAGAAUUUCAAGUAUAUAUAUUUUCCAACCGAUAAAAAUAGAGGCUCAGCUCAAAAGAACUAAGCUCCUCACUCCUCUCACCGUAUUCUUAUACAUUCUUCAUCGUUUCGCAUCGCAGCAUUACAUUCGGAAGGAAAAGGGACCCAUCACCAUGGACAGAAGGGAGUUGAAUAUCAAGGGAAGAAGAAUCAAGAAAGCUGAGAAGAAAAUGAAAGAGAUGAAAGCCUCGACAGAAGAAAUGAGAAAUGAGAUGACCCAUCUGAUAAACUUGGCUGAGAAUUGUCAUAAUGCAUUCCUCCAAAUUAGGGAAGCAGUUAAUCCACUAAUCUUGUCUGCUCAGUCGUUGGAUGCUCAAGUCGAUGAACUGGUUUCUUCCUUCCUUGCUCAAAACCACGGCGAUUGAUCACUUCUCUUCCUGUUUGCGGUGGGUGCUUGGAGGGGUUAGAUCAGCUGGUAUUGUGGAAGGAUUUAUCACGUGGCUUCUUUUUAGUGUUUCUUAGUAGAAAUAAACAAGUGUGCUAUGAAUUUUAUUCUAAUGUUGUUUUUGUGUGUGAUCACUGGACAUACUAUAUGCUGGAAUUGCAGUUUAUGAUUUUUGGUGGCUUGUUGUUUC